AGCCCAGUGACCCUGUUUCCAGCUGAGAUGAGAUUCUCAGUUCCCACAGUGAACGCUGUGACAGCUCUUCUCUGAGGACACAAUUUGAUCUGGAAUAUACUUCUAAUAGUUCUUCCUUUAUAAUUUGUGGAGGGGCAGAUGUAAUGAAACAAGAUGCGGUGGGUGCCGUUAGAAGUCACAACACUGUGAUAUUUGAAGAUAGCACCGUCUGGAUUUUUUUCCCCUCCUCUCCGUAUCAGGACUUGCCUAUAAUGAGCAAUAGCUCAGCCCGUGUCUGUCUUCACUAUCUCCCCUUCACCCCCACCCCCAACCAGCGUUUAUGAAAGUAGCAAUUGCUUCUGAGAAAAAGAAAACCGCUGGAGCUUGAAGCUCCUGCUGGAAGCCACUGCUUGCCUCAGUCUGUGGAAACCCAGACGCUAGAAAUCGGAGUUUUGCCGCGCUUCACCUUGCCAACGUGUGCUCGGGAGUUUUAUUUUUAUAAGGUCAGAGAGUUCUCUGCAAGACUCAGCACACUGGCUGGAGAGGGAUGGCUGCAUGCCCCCCCCCUCUCUUUCUGUGUGUGUAUGUGAGCUGUGUGGGCAGGUGUGAGUUGUGUAGCUGUUUACACAGGCUACACACACCUGAAUCUCCUGGGUUCGGCCCCCUUUUGUUAGUUAUUGGCACCAUUUCGCCCCUGAGUCUCUAGAGGCUCUCCUUUCUUUCUAUCUGGCUGGCCCUCACCUUGGCCUGGACACUGCCUUCUGUCUGCCUUUACUCCCUGUGCCAUGGAAGGUGUGACGCUGUGACUUCCCCACCCCCAGUUUUCCUCCUGGUGUGAAUCUGUGACCCUUGCCACUUCCCACCAGCUUUCUUCCUGGCACCCCAGCAAGUGGCUCCCUGACCUUGGCUGCUCAUUAGAAUCUUGAGAUCCUGUGUUGAAUAAACCAGAACACACAUCA
rnacentral:lncRNA from 1 species